rnacentral:rRNA from 1 species
GAUGAACGCUGGCGGCGUGCUUAACACAUGCAAGUCGAACGAUGAAGCCCAGCUUGUUGGGUGGAUUAGUGGCGAACGGGUGAGUAACACGUGAGUAACCUGCCCUUAACGCUGGGAUAAGCCUGGGAGACUGGGGCUAAUAUCGGAUAGGAGCGUCCCCCGCAAGGUGGGUGUUGGAAAGAUUUAUCGGUUUUGGGUGGAGUCGCGGCCUAUCAGCUUGUUGGUGGGGGAGUGGCUCACCAAGGCGACGACGGGUAGCCGGCCUGAGAGGGUGACCGGCCACACUGGGACUGAGACACGGCCCAGACUCCUACGGGAGGCAGCAGUGGGGAAUAUUGCACAAUGGGCGCAAGCCGGAUGCAGCGACGCCGCGUGAGGGAUGACGGCCUUCGGGUUGUAAACCGCUUUCGGCAGGGAAGAAGCGUGAGUGACGGUACCUGCAGAAGAAGCACCGGCUAACUACGUG